rnacentral:siRNA from 1 species
GAAACAAGAAAGGUGACCGACGCC